rnacentral:rRNA from 1 species
UGGGGAAUUUUGGACAAUGGGGGAAACCCUGAUCCAGCCAUCCCGCGUGUGCGAUGAAGGCCUUCGGGUUGUAAAGCACUUUUGGCAGGAAAGAAACGUCAUGGGUUAAUACCCCGUGAAACUGACGGUACCUGCAGAAUAAGCACCGGCUAACUACGUGCCAGCAGCCGCGGUAAUACGUAAGGUGCAAGCGUUAAUCGGAAUUACUGGGCGUAAAGCGUGCGCAGGCGGUUCGGAAAGAAAGAUGUGAAAUCCCAGAGCUCAACUUUGGAACUGCAUUUUUAACUACCGGGCUAGAGUGUGUCAGAGGGAGGUGGAAUUCCGCGUGUAGCAGUGAAAUGCGUAGAUAUGCGGAGGAACACCGAUGGCGAAGGCAGCCUCCUGGGAUAACACUGACGCUCAUGCACGAAAGCGUGGGGAGCAAACAGG